AGAAAAGACAAGCCUCAUUUCCUCCCCAGCUUGAGGGGAUACAUGCUCUGUACUCUGUGAUCUCCAAGUGGGAGGGACUUGGCCACCCCUGGGCCCGGAGAAGGAGUGUCAACCACACUAGUGAACUGAAGGUUGCCUGUAGUUAUGCCCUGCUGUCUGCUGGCCCUUCUUCUGGGCACUUUCUUAGGUGUCAGAGCUCAGACCAUCCAUCAAUGGCCAUCCACCAGGGUGCAGCCUGCAGGCAGCCCGCUCUCUCUGGAGUGCACCGUGAAGGGGACAUCAAACCCCAGCCUGUACUGGUACCGGCAGGAGGCAGGGGGGAGCCUCCAGCAGCUCUUCUACUCUGUUAGUGCUGGCCAGAUAGAACCUAGGGAGUUCCAGAACUUCAAAGCUUCCAGGCCCCAGGACGGCCAGUUUACCCUGAGUUCUAAGAAGCUGCAGCUCAAUAACUCGGGCUUCUACCUCUGCGCCUGGAGUCUCACACUGCACUGGGUGGGGCAGACAUCUGUGCAGAAACCCCAUCCUCUCCCAUGCCCUCCUCACCCACUGCAGCAGCCCUCACUCAGGGUCUAGGCGGAGGAUGUCUGUCACUGGGUUUCUGACUGUCAGCCAGCGUGAGGGCAACAGUCUCAAGCCAGGGUCUCCAAAAGAACUUUACUACGUUCUUGCUUUUUGUUUAGUCACCCAGUCGUGUCUGACUCUUUUGUGACCCCAUGGACUGCCGCCUGCCAGGCUCCUCU